UACGAAGGGGGCUAGCGUUGUUCGGAAUCACUGGGCGUAAAGGGCGCGUAGGCGGUGCGGUAAGUCACCUGUGAAACCUCUAGGCUCAACCUAGAGCCUGCAGGCGAAACUGCCGUGCUUGAGGGUGGGAGAGGUGCGUGGAAUUCCCGGUGUAGCGGUGAAAUGCGUAGAUAUCAGGAAGAACACCCGUGGCGAAGGCGGCUCUCUGGAACGCAACUGACGCUGAGACGCGAAAGCGUGGGGAGCAAACAGG
rnacentral:rRNA from 1 species